GUAUAAUUAAGUUUGCUUUUUAGGACAAACGUGUUUGACAUUCUAAGACUUUAAUGGGGUGUAUGAAAAACAUAGACCAGAAAUUAAUCCAGCCUACAAAGGGUGCACAGGUGUAAGAAUGGAUGAGAAGAAGUGUGCACAUGUCCCGAGAGACCAGCAGCAACUCCUUUCAAAAUUCGAUAAUGAUCCUUCCGCAGGUUCACCUACGGAAA
rnacentral:misc_RNA from 1 species